GACGAACGCUGGCGGCGUGCUUAACACAUGCAAGUCGAACGGAAAGGCCCUGCUUUUGUGGGGUGCUCGAGUUGCGAACGGGUGAGUAACACGUGAGUUACCUGCCCUUGACUUUGGGAUAACUUCAUGAAACUGGGGCUAAUACCGGAUAGGAGCUCCUGCUGCAUGGUGGGGGUUGGAAAGUUUCGGCGGUUGGGGAUGGACUCGCGGCUUAUCAGCUUGUUGGUUGGGUAGUGGCUUACCAAGGCUUUGACGGGUAGCCGGCCUGAGAGGGUGACCGGACAAAUUGGGACUGAGAUGCGGCACAGACUCGUACGGGAGGCAGCAGUGGGGAAGAUUGCACAAUGGGAGGAAGCAAGAUGCAGCAACGCAGCGUGGGGGAUGACGGCAUUCGGGUUGUAUACCGAUUUCGCCUGUGACGAAGCGUGAGUGACGGUAAUGGGUAAAGAAGCACCGGCUAACUACGUG
rnacentral:rRNA from 1 species